rnacentral:tRNA from 1 species
UCUGUAGCUCAGUUGGUAGAGCAAAGGACUGAAAAUCCUUGUGUCGGUGGUUCGAUUCCACCCGG